rnacentral:rRNA from 1 species
UACAGAGGGUGCAAGCGUUGUUCGGAUUUAUUGGGCGUAAAGAGCGUGUAGGCGGCCAUACAGGUCAGCUGUGAAAACUCGAGGCUCAACCUCGAGACGUCGGUUGAAACCGUAUGGCUAGAGUCCGGAAGAGGAGAGUGGAAUUCCCGGUGUAGCGGUGAAAUGCGCAGAUAUCGGGAAGAACACCCGUGGCGAAGGCGGCUCUCUGGGACGGUACUGACGCUGAGACGCGAAAGCGUGGGGAGCGAACAGG